UGCAUAUCAAUAAGCGGAGGAAAAGAAACCAACCGGGAUUGCCUCAGUAACGGCGAGUGAAGCGGCAAGAGCUCAAAUUUGAAAUCUGGCCCCUCCGGGGUCCGAGUUGUAAUUUGCAGAGGAUGCUUCGGGUGCGGCCCCUGUCUAAGUGCCCUGGAACGGGCCGUCAGAGAGGGUGAGAAUCCCGUCUUGGGCAGGGUGCCCGUGCCCGUGUGAAGCUCCUUCGACGAGUCGAGUUGUUUGGGAAUGCAGCUCAAAAUGGGUGGUAAAUUUCAUCUAAAGCUAAAUACCGGCCGGAGACCGAUAGCGCACAAGUAGAGUGAUCGAAAGAUGAAAAGCACUUUGAAAAGAGAGUUAAACAGCACGUGAAAUUGUUGAAAGGGAAGCGCUUGCAACCAGACUCGGCCUCGGGGUUCAGCCAGCAUUCGUGCUGGUGUACUUCCCCGGGGCCGGGCCAGCGUCGGUUUGGGCGGCCGGUCAAAGGCCCCAGGAAUGUAUCGUCCUCCGGGACGUCUUAUAGCCUGGGGUGCAAUGCGGCCAGCCUGGACCGAGGAACGCGCUCGGCACGGACGCAAGCGAGGCAGAGGG
rnacentral:rRNA from 1 species